rnacentral:rRNA from 1 species
UAGAGUUUGAUCCUGGCUCAGAAUGAACGCUGGCGGCGUGCCUAACACAUGCAAGUCGGACGCGAAAACUCCCUCGGGAGUGAGUAGAGUGGCGCACGGGUGAGUAACGCGUAGGUAAUCUACCUCUGGAUUGGGGAUAACUCUGCGAAAGCGGAGCUAAUACCGAAUGGUCUGGCUUUAUUUUUAUGAAGUCGGUAAAGGAUGCCUCUGCAUAUGCAUCUGUCCGGAGAUGAGCCUGCGUCCCAUUAGCUAGUUGGUAGGGUAAAGGCCUACCAAGGCGACGAUGGGUAGCUGGUCUGAGAGGAUGAUCAGCCACACUGGAACUGGAACACGGUCCAGACUCCUACGGGAGGCAGCAGUGGGGAAUAUUGGGCAAUGGGCGCAAGCCUGACCCAGCAACGCCGUGUGAGGGAUGAAGGCCUUCGGGUCGUAAACCUCUGUCAGAAGGGAAGAACGGGCACAGUUCGAAUAGGGCUGUGUUUUGACGGUACCUUCAGAGGAAGCACCGGCUAACUCCGUGCCAGCAGCCGCGGUAAUACA